CAAUGGGCGAAAGCCUGACGGAGUGACGCCGCGUGUGGGACGAAGGCCUUCGGGUCGUAAACCACUGUCAGUGGGAAAGAUGGGUGUCGGCGCUAAUACCGCCGGCAUCUGACGGUACCUGCAGAGGAAGCCCCGGCCAACUCUGUGCCAGCAGCCGCGGUAAGACAGAGGGGGCAAGCGUUGCUCGGAAUUACUGGGCGUAAAGGGCGCGUAGGCGGGAUGGCAAGUCGGUCGUGAAAUCCCUCGGCUCAACUGAGGAACGUCGAUCGAUACUGCUGUUCUUGAGGAUUGCAGAGGAGACUGGAAUUCCCGGUGUAGCGGUGAAAUGUGUAGAGAUCGGGAGGAACACCGGUGGCGAAGGCGGGUCUCUGGGCAAUUCCUGACGCUGAGGCGCGAAAGCGUGGGGAGCAAACGGGAUUAGAUACCCCGGUAGUCCACGCUGUAAACGAUGAGCACUAGGUGUGGGGGGGUUCAGUCCCUUCCGUGCCGCAGCUAACGCAUUAAGUGCUCCGCCUGGGGAGUACGG
rnacentral:rRNA from 1 species